GGCUAAGGAGGAAGCCCGGGCAGCGAGCGGGAUGGAUCGCGCUCGCUGCCCGGGCUUCGUCUUUAGCC